GUAAUUAGUGUUGAGGUCAUGACAUUACUUUUUCUAAUUUUUUCUAAUGGUUAGGUUGGCAGUUUAUAUGAACUCACGAAUUUAACCCGAAUUAUUUUAAAAUCGAAAUAUAUCAUUUAAUAAAAUUUUCCAUCCAAUUUAACGAAAAUUUAAACAACAAUGCUUGUGUAUAAUAAGUCAAAAUAAAACAAUAAUAAACUUCAUCUCCUCCACGGACUCUGUUGUCACAGUCGGAUCUGACCUCUGCAUCGUCACCUCCCCGGUGCCUACCAAAUCUGAAACUUCCUCUCCUCAAACCGUCAAACGUCUCCUCUUUCACCGCCAGAUCUGACCUCUGCAUCGUCAUCUCCGGUGCCCAUUCGAUCUUUCAUUUUCACGAGUUUGUCAACUCCUCGCUUCACCUCCUCCGACUCCGACGACCUCAUCGACUCCUCCGACAACUACAUCCGCCUCUGCAAGCUCCACCGCGUUUUUAUUGAACUCGUCAUAUCUGUCCUCAACAACAGAGGAUACACCUCAAGAUCAAGCCUCGUAUUUGGGUUUUUAAAGUUUGAGUUGAUCCACCUAUCUCUCUGUUUGCUGGUGAAGAGGAAACAGAGUGAGGAGAUCAUCACUCACAUGACAAUAUUGCAUAUAGUAUAGAGAAAAGCAAAUUAUCCUUGUCAAUGAAGGAACCCAAAAACAGAGGAUACACCUCAAGAUCGAGCUACAGAGUCCUUAGGAGCCGAAACUCACUUGUAAUUCAAUUCGCCAGAGCAUCAAUAAGAGUCGAUUUCCCAGAGCCACUAGUUUUAAAACUACUAUAUUUGACAUGAAUGUAGAAAAUGACUAAGCAAUCAUGUUUUAUUA
rnacentral:lncRNA from 1 species